GUCUACGGUCAUGCUACCCUGAACAAGCCCAAUCCCGUCUGAUCUUGGAAGCUAAGCAGGGUUGGUGCCUAGUUAGUACUUGGAUCGGAGACCACCUAGGAAGACCAGGUGCUGUAGGCG
rnacentral:rRNA from 1 species